UACGGAGGGGGGCUAGCGUUGUUCGGAAUUACUGGGCGUAAAGCGCGCGUAGGCGGCUUUGUAAGUUAGAGGUGAAAGCCCGGAGCUCAACUCCGGAACUGCCUUUAAGACUGCAUCGCUAGAAUUGUGGAGAGGUAAGUGGAAUUCCGAGUGUAGAGGUGAAAUUCGUAGAUAUUCGGAAGAACACCAGUGGCGAAGGCGACUUACUGGACACAUAUUGACGCUGAGGUGCGAAAGCGUGGGGAGCAAACAGG
rnacentral:rRNA from 1 species